GUAGAUCAUGCUCCCUCUGCAUAUACUAAAGUUGGAACAAUACAGAGAAGAUUAGCAUGGCCCCUGUGCAAGGAUGACAUGCAAAUUCGUGAAGCAUUACAUAUUUUU